ensembl:lncRNA
CCACUGCUGCUGCGGUGCCCAGCCCAGGGUAACCCAGGGGAGCGCAGCAUGGGCUGUGGGAUGACGCACCUCUCCUGCGAUACACGCAGGCGACCGUAUGGGCAGCGCUGAUUCCCUACUGCCUUCUGACACCAGCGCUCUCCUUCCUUUUAGCUACCCGUAGCAUCGUGUCAAGGCCAGGGGGCAGCUGGUGCUGCCCAGACACGAGGCCCUUCUGAGCUCUCACCUGACGCCCAUACGUCCGACAUCCCUCUGCUCCCUCCUUGCCGCAGCCCGCGGGCCUAUCUCACACGGAGCAGUCCAGCUGGUGCUGCCCCAAACCGAAGGAGAUGGCGUCUUCUCCUAGCUUGCUUACACGGAGCCACAGGAGCAGUGCCACGGAACACAACCACAUUACAUCGGGGGAGGCAACCUAAUGGCCAAGUGGGGCUUCAGUCAGGGUGUACACAUUUCACCACGUGCAGACAAACUUGUGUAGUGUAUUAAAGUCUAUGGCCAUUUUAAUCUCUUAUGGGGGGGGGGGGAAGCAAGGUUCAUGUGAAUUCUUUAAUUAGACAUGAAAUUGCCAUGCAAAGACACUAAGGAAGUAUGUGGUUAUGCAACUGGAGCCCUAGAGGAAAAAGUAAACAAUUUUACUGAGAAAAACAGAUUGAAAACAAUGAUGACAUUAAGAGGGAAAUGGCUGGAGGUUUGGGCUCUCUGUUUUUUUCCCCUUCCCUUUUGAAGCCUAAGAACAUCUGCAGGUCAUCUUCAACUUGGUCCCUCUUUGGUGUUGCUCAGUAUAUACUGCUUCAGUACCGUGGUCAUUCUUGACUGGAACUUGGUACACAGCUCUGUACAGGAGCUCCAGCAUUAGGAGCCGUAGCAUCAGCACUUUUCUCGGUCACUAAGGGAAUGCAUCUCAUCUGAGCCAAGCCCUUUUUUAUGCCAAAAUUUUGCAAGUUAUUUAACAUGCCUAGAAGCCCCAAACCCACCAUGGUGUGCUGCUGAAAGGCAGCUGGCAUAACCAAGCGCCUGGCCUUGCACAUACCAUGGCUCUGGGACCACCACCGGGCAGCUUGGUUCCCAGGGCUGCGCUUGGCGUGGGGUGUCCUUUGUGUAGCACCAGGCUCUGGCUUACAGCAUCGUGCCCAGCCCUCCCUGGCAUACCCUGCUAGGUUAAGCAAGGCGACUUGGCUAGUUUGGCAAAGGGAAUAAAGCCCUUAAAAAUGUGAUGUGGUGAGAUAGCAUUAAAAUCCAGGAUGUGUGCCUUCAAGAGUCAAGGACAUAGCUUAAAACAAAACAAAACAAAAUUAAAAAAAAAAAAAAGCGAGAAGAAUAGGAAGAGAAGGCACACCAUGUGAUUGUAAGUUACUGAGAAGGAACUUCACAUGUGAGCUGAGGAAAUGCAGCAUUGUAAACGUGCUAUUUAUAUAGUGCUGAAAGUGUACUUUUACAGGGACAUAAACACUCUUCACUCCAGUGCAUAUAAUCUGCCCUUCUGAAGCAGAUCAAGACAGUGCCCUGUUAGAGCCGAUUCAAUCUAAGGUCAAAAACCAAAUAAAUCUCAACUUUGAGAAACUUCAAACCAAAAUUUGGUCUGGGCCGAAGUCAUUCGACUGGACCAAGCCUUUCCCAUAACAAAAAUGAUCCUCCGAAUACUGAAGGUAAGAUCUGUAAGUAGGGACUGUGACCACUUCUGUUGUUGUUAAACUUUUUUUUUUUUUUUUUUUUUUUUUUUUUUUAAGCUGUAUCAUACAGAUUCGGGAGGAAAAAGUGAAAAAGAAUACAAAACUUUAUACAAGCUUUAACUUCAGGGAAGGUACUCAGGCAGAAUAUAAUUAGCAAAGCACUUUGGCUGUCUUCCAGCUGCACGCAACACCAUACUCUUGUAAAAGAGCACCCAAGGAUUUUGAAUGACCACAAAUAAUGCAAUCAUGUUAACCUUAUGUAAAACCAGACAUGCACUUAACUACCCUGAAAUCAUUUCAUUCACUAUGUUAGCAGAGCUGUCCAUGAUGUGGAUAUCAGACAGAUAGCAGUAUUUAUUCUAUCAUUUGACUCUCUCCUGCUUGAUUUUUUGCAAUAAAUAGGUCUUUUUUUUUUUUUUUUAGCCUGAACUGAAUUUUAAUUGCAAAAGAUCAUGAGAUUUAAAGAACAACAAAUGCAGCCAUUUGUAGAGCAUGCAUGCUGAGGUCCAAGAUCUACUUCUGUUUCUCCCCUUGUCUUCAGCUCUUACAUGACCCAAUCAUGAAGAAAAGAUGUCAAAUGCCACCAGCACCAGCUGGAGAGCAUCUUGGUUGAACCCUGGUCUGAGUUUAUGUGAGAGGUAGCCCCAAGCCAGCCCACCAGCAUGGAAAUAGACCAGCAAGUAAAAUGUUACUGUGAGGAGAGCGAGGACUGCUUCAAAUCAGACAGAGCUUGCCAGAACAUAAUGGUGGCUUGUAACACAGCUAAUCAUGCCGAAUAAAACAGAGCCUUAAAUACAUUCAGGACUAGAUUCUCAAUGGACCCUUCCAUUUAGCAUGUGGCAUCAAUUUUUUUUUUCCCUAACCAACUGUAUUUGGUACCACAAGGGAUGGUUAAUACAAUUUCAAAAAAAAAAAAAAAUUCAAAAAAUAUGAAUAAAUAACCAUAAGUUGUUUACACAAAUAAACAUUCCAGGACGUGGGAUUUUAUUCAGUAAUUGCCAUAUUGGUCAUAAAACAUGCCUGAAAACCCAAAGUACUACUUUAUUGCAUUUAGCAGCAACAAUUAGCCUCUCAAUUUUUCACUGUUUUAACAGACAUGAUGGCUUUCUACUGUGAGAAUAGGCUAAAAAAAUAAGCAACGAACAAACACAACCAAAAAGCAGGCUCUUCUGUACAACCAUACGCUCCAUAGGCUUACACGCAAAAAGCCUGAGCUGUGUUUCAUGAGGCAAAAGAAACAAACGGGCGGCAGACCAUUUUCCUUCCUACAUGAGGCACUAUCUAGAGGAGAGGGAGCAGCGAGGAGUUUUGUUGCAAGGCUCUCUCAGAUGUACCACAGGCAAUUCCUUGCUGCUGAGGACCAGAAUAAGGGCAAAAGUGGAAACAAUAGGAAAAGGUACAGUCCUUAAUGCAUCACUUGCUCUAUUCCAUUGUCCACGAAACAACAGAAGUGAUGGUUGGACGUGAUGACCUUAGAAAUCUUCUCCAACUUUAAUGAUCCUAUGAAUUUUUACACUGAACCAUUUCUGUAAAACAGAGAGCAUAAGUUUUGCAAGAGGGGGGUGUUUGUGAGCUGGAACAUUUUUUCUUUGCAGAAGAUUAAUCAAGAUAAAUAAGUCAUUUGGAAACGCUUGUAGUAGAUAUUCAGGUAGACACCUGAAGCCACCACAAGGCACAAAGUCACAUCAAGAGGACUCACUUUAUGUAGACUCUUGCAGGUUCAAGACAAGAGAAGUACAGCUGUGACAGAAACUGGGGGAUUCCACUCAGGUGAACUGCAGAUGUGAGCAAAGAUACACAUAACUGAUGCAGCACAGUUACCUCGCAAUUUGGAUAAUUAACCCAUGGGUAAUCAAGUAUUGAUGGCAUUGCACUAACUGCAGAAACUAUGUCCUAGAAACAUUACUGGGAAUAUCCAUCCUGUGUUUUCACCUCCUAGAAGUCCGAUUUGGACAGCUGACUGACCUACUUCCAGCAUGUCACUGUUCCCAGCACACCAACCCCUAUCCCUAAACACAUGGUUGCUUCCAGCAAGGGAGAGAAAAGGAGGACUGGGCUACAGAUGUUCCUCGCGCAUACAAUCAACACGGCCCUCCCCCACCAAAGUUUAAUAAGGAUUGUUAGUACAUCAUUGUAGCUGGUAAUUGUGUAGGUACACAUGGUAAUUGCAUGUAUUUGCACUAAUUAUGUAAAUGCACAAUAAUUAAAGCUCCAGGGUUUUCAUGGUAAAUUUUUAAAACACUCAUGGAUUUGUCAUGGCAAAAGUGUCAGUCAUGUAACCUAGUGGGGAAGAAAAGGAGGAGGAGGCUCAGGAGUGCACACUUCUUAAAUAAAAACAGACAUUUUUGCAUGAGUAACUGGAGAGGGGAUACCAUUUUAUCAUCAAACAGAACUGUCAUGCCUGGGUACAACUUCUUUCAGACUCUCUUAUCAGUUAGAAUAAUAAUAAUUAAAAAUUAAAAAAAAAAAUAUUGGUUUUCAUGGUAGGUCAUUGCUAAUGCUCAAAUACUCCCUGCCUUCUAUCCUGGCUUUCCCCACCCACCCUGCACUGCAGGUCUCAGGGCUUCCCUCUGCUCUGUGCUGCAGGGAUGAGCAAGCCUCUGCUUGGCGGGCAUGGAGGGGCCUGGGCAGUUCAGUGCUCCUUAACAACUGCAGCCGCAGAAGGAAAGGGAGCUUUGCAAACACACAGCAUGCAUCUCACUGCGAGGCAUGCAGACAAGCAGCGUAGCUGGUGUUCAGCCUCAUUGGCCACCGUACAGCUCCCUGAGCAGCCCUACUGUGCCAUGCUGGGCUCACAGGUCCUGCUCAGUGGGCAGUAUGACAGAGAGCUGUGACAUGGAGCACCAACUAGAUGUUUCACACUAAAAGCUGGCUGCUCCAAAACACACUGUGUGAGGUUUUAAUCCCUUCAGCCACAUGCUCCUUUUAUGGGUGAUACCUGCACUCAUGACACUUGCAUCCACUGGGAAGGCACCAACCUGACUUGUGCUUAAGCAGAAAUAUUCUUCCCUGUGCCACCUCAUUGCAGGUGUUCUUGUUGGCCCACACAGCACCUCUGCAGGAUUGCUUACUCAUACACAGCUUCCUCAGGACCGUUGCAACCAAGAGCCAGUACAAGAGCUUUAAGCUACCGAGGCCAAAUACCUAAAGACAAGACACAAAGGGGAGCUUCCUUGGGAUUUACAACACAGCUUUAAGAGGAUUUGGGGGACACACAGCCACACAGUUAUUUAUGUAAACCUAAGUCUAUAUACGUGGAUCAAAAAACUCCACAUACAUGGCAACUACUUUCAUUAUGCCCCAGCACAUUCCAUAUCGUUCAGGUGUUGUUUUCUUUUAGUCAUUUCUUUGAAGACACUUUAAAAAAAAUCAAAGCUAAAUUAAAACAAAACAUAAAACUAUAUGAUAAAAACUGAACAAAUCUAGUGAUACAAAAGUUAUGUUAAAAGCAGAUUUUAAUUGCUGGCGUCCAAUUAAACAAGAGAAGCUACCUUGUAUAGUGACUAUUUUCUACUUCAUUUCUAAGAAUGGACAUAUUUUCAGGAUUUUUUUUUUAUUUCCUAUGGUGUUAAGAAUGUCUGUAUCCAUGCCUGAUAGAGAUUAAAGAAAGCAAAGCAUCAUCUUAAACUUUUGGAUUUGCGGAAACAUGUUUGUUAAUGCACUGAGAAUCUUGAAGGAGUACAGGAGGAUUUCACACAACUAACUGUACUCCUUCUGAUAAUAAAUAAAUAAACGUUGCUAAAACAGUGAUCUGUUGAAUUAAUUUCCUUUAGUUUUACAAUAAAUUCAUCUGUUCCUCAGGUAAUGGGUAGAGGGUGUCUAAAAUUCUUUAAAUACAGGGUUUGUGUUCAGGACUGGAAAGCAGCUGAGUUGGGUUAUCUGUCUGUAGGGAAUUGUCCAUCUGUCUGUAGGGAAUUUAUUUUGGCUUGUUUUUGUUGUACAGCAGCAUUGUGAGGCUAAGUUAGUGCUUUAAUUUUUGUUAAUGCAGGACCAAAGGUCUUUCAGAUGUUUAUGUCUAGUGGCAGCUCGUAUCAUAAAUACUUGCUUCCAGCAUCAUGACUACACAGACUGAGUAAGCCUUCAAUCCAGCAAGGUCCCUCAGACUUGGUGCUUCUUCACAUGCCACACAAAUAUGCUUACUCAGGCAGGAAAAAAAUGCCUAAUUUAUGAGAAGUGUUUUGGUUCAUCAGAUUUGCAAAAGCAGUUUGGUGGUACAGCUGACAUUCAGAUUCCUUCGCAAGAAGAGUUGGAAGGUUGUCCUUUCUGAAAGUCAUGUCCAUGGUGUCUCAAGUUGAUAGCAUGAGCAUGAAAACACCUGCAGUUAGCAGUGGGCCUAUUUCCUACUUCUGUGUGAUUCUUUUGGUCUGCAUGAACAAUAUGAAAAAAUAUUGUUAAAUAUAAGUUGAUCUAAAUAAAUACAAAUAUAUGCUUAUUGAUAUGUAUCACAAGAGGUGUUUGUGUAAUGAACUGAUUGGUCUGAGAUCCUAGCAUGAGCAAUUCUGACACAAAUGGCAACUUGGUGCUGACUGUUGGGACACACGAAGGUGUCCUUUGCUGAAUAUUUGCUACCAGAACAUCUAGGAAUGGAAGAUAUUCUUGGAAAUCUAGGCAAUGGGAUUUGCUCAAAAAUCCAUGGCAAAUACAUGACCAGAACCUGUACCUGAACCUGUUCCUGACUCGUGAGCUGAACUGGCAGGUGCCCUGUUCCAACAAGCCAGCCACAGUACAGGUGUAUUUUAAAUCACUGUGCUGAGUCAUUCUCAUUUAAAUGUAGGCUAAACCACCUGAGUGUACUGUCCUUGCUAACCUCCACAAACUCACUGUAAAGUUUUCCCUCUACAGAGCAGACAAAGCCCAUUGGCUUCAUCCCUCAUGUGAGCCACAGCCAGGCAGCUAUUGCCUAUUUGCUGCAUCAUGAUAUAUGAUUACAGACAGUUGUGAGUGUUUGUUUGCUUGCUAGGCUUGUUCCUUUAAAGAGGAAGAAUUAUCCUAUUAUCUCAAGCAGAAUCACACUUGUUCCACUCUAUCUUGCCUUCUAAACUUUAAAAGCUGAAAAGUCAUCUUUUAAGUGUCUUUUUUUAGCUGAAGGAUUUUCUUUUAUUUAAUUUCUAUACAUACGCAUUUUCCACUACACAUGCUGGAAUAGUAUCUGUUUGAUUUCCUGUUAUUGUACGUAAGUCUACAUUUUUUGUCAGUGCUUUGUUUUAAACAAAGCAGAGGAACAUAUAGCAAGUUUGUCCUGAAUUAAUGGCUUCCUGACAUUUGAUGAAAUUCUUUAUACCAACCCCACUUUUCCAUAUUCCCUUUCUGGAUUUCUUUUCGUUUGGCAGCUGGCAUGUAGCAGUUAGAUCCUAUCUGGUAGCUAGAGCAAAAAGAGUCCCAAAAUGUAGAAUUACUUUUAAGAGCUCUAAAUACUACCUAGACUUCAACUUUAAAAACCUGGAAGAAUCCCAAACCCAGGAGAAAGGAUGUAUGAUGUACAUUAUCGGGCUACUGUUACGGGGAAUAGUUUAAAUACUGAAUAAAACUCAAUGAAGACUUUCAGAAUUAUUUUUGUUCAGACUUUACAGUCUUGUGGGGAAUGCAGAGGUUAGCAAUGACACCUCAAACACUAUACUGUCUUGAUAGGACUUGAAGGUUAGAUCAGGGAAGUACUGGGUAACCUAUCAAAGUCCUGAAAUCAAAAGGCAUCUUUUCUAAAAUAAAUCUCGGUGGGGAGAAUGUACACAUUCUCAUGCUGCUGUUUGUUUUGUCAUAUUCACAGGUAAAAGAAAACUAUGGGCAAUGUCUGAUAAUGCGCCUGUCCUCUACUCAGACUUGCCCCCUUCAAUGACUAGAGUCACUUCUCAAUGACUGGAGGCUCUGCAGAGUGGGGAAGUGAAAACCAGAACCCGCCUCUCCGAAGAUAAAGUUGAAAAAAAGCAAAUGAGCAAAAACAAACAAACAAACAAAAAAUACUCCCUUAACCUGGUAUCAAACAUCCAUCCUAUCUUGUUUUGAAUUGAUCUGGAGAAAAUGGUAGUUGGCAAUGACUCUUAAAUGUAUGACCAAUCAUUUUGCUUUUUUAUAGGUACGUGAAAGACACAGCUUGCCAGAGUGGAAUUCAUGUACCUCCUGAAAUAUUUAAGACACCUGCAGUGAGAUUAUUUUUCCUCUUUUAAUUUGAAGAACCUGCAUUUCUCAGUUCUGAGGCAUUUCUCUGGCGGUAAUGUGUGCCAAAUAACUGGCAGUCUGGCACAACAGCACUUAUAUUCCAAGUAUUAUAAAAGAUAGAUAACAAGAAACCUGUUGCUUUUCUUUUCAGGGGAACUGAACCAUGAAUCUUAUAUGGCAUCAGUAGGUACAGAUAUAAACCCCUCUCCACUGUUUUUCUCUGCUUCUGUGACAUAAAAUUAAGGCCCAAAUUCUACAAAAUAUUUAACAGGAAAAAUCUCACAGCCCAAAAGCUCUCCUGAGGCAGUAUUUGCAUACAAUUUGUUGCAAGAUUAGGAUCAGAGGUUUUUUUCUCCCUAUUUUUCUACCUCAUUGGGUGUUAUUCUGGCAUUGCUAUGUUUUUCCAUUUACAUUGUUUUGACUAGAGUCAAAAUUGUUGUUACAUUUUAAGUCAGUGUCUGCUCUACUAAUUGAUGGGCUGCUAAAGAUCAGCCACGGAGAGUUAGAUUUCAGAGCAAGAAUCUGGCUCACAGAAGAAGUGAUUACAUGAGAUAUGUAAGGACCAAAGCCUGUAAGACCGAUUCAAACCCUAAAUGAUUUGACCAAGAGUACAAGGCUGUGAUACAUUCACAGUGAAAAUAUGGCACCUGGUCACAGUGUCUGGCUUCCACUUCUUCCAUCCAACUUUAGCUGUCCUCCUUUUGCAGAGGUCAAAGCAUUGUAUAAAUAUCAGUUAAGCAGAGUAAAAUCAGCUCCUUUAAAAUAUUUAGCUACCAUCUACCAGUGCUUUAUAAUAUGAAGAACAUACCUCUGCUCUCCUGGAACAUGGCAGGAAGCAGAAGUUUCUCUUUUGAAGGCAAUGAAGUUCCUCUGCAUCUGACUUCCAAGCAGUGUCUAACCUUGCUAUAUAUUUUAAUCUAACAGUAAGAUUUUUACUUCAGAACUUGUUUUCAUUCUGAAUCUGAGAGAGAAAGUGGGCACACUGUAGAUUUCUUGUAAAAAAUUUGUAUAACCAUGCUUAUCAAAUUUUAAACAGUAGCACCAGUAUUGCAAUACUUACUUUACCAUUAUAUUAAAAACAAAAGCAACUGAAAGGAAAGUCAGCACGAAAAGUUUUCCUCUUAUCAGAGUAAAUGAGAAUAUUGAUAUAAUGCAUUUCUGCUCUCUGCCUUUUAAAAUGGCAUUGAAAGCAACACAUUCUUACAAUAAAGUUUGCAUUUCACUCAAAGUGCAUUUUCCAACUGGAAAGUGUAAAGGCGAAUAUUUCAGGAUUGGUCCUACUUGAUGGUGCUUUGCAAAUACUCUCUAUUAACCUGAAUGACUGCGUAAGGUAGAGGAAAUCGGUAAACCUGGCCCUCUGAGAGCAGAGGAGCAAGUUGUUAAUGUUAAUGGGUAUCAAUUCACAUAUAUUUGCUUACAGAGAUCUGUGGCAGCUCUGAGUGUUUCACUGUGUCCAAUUUCUUCUUGCAUAAAUAAAGAAGAGCAUGAAUACUUGAAAAGAUGAAGGCUUCUCUGGAGCAGAAGAGCCAGAACUACUACAAGGAAAUUCUUGUGCUUCUUUAAUUACCCUCCUUUGCCCAUAGGUGGAAUUUCCACUCGGACAGCCCCAGCAAGCAGACUGCUAGCCUGGGAAGAGAUGUCUGUUUGUCUUUGUACAGCAAACACUGGCUGUGUUGUGCAGCUCAAGCUUCUGAUUCAAAUGAUUUCCUGAAUUCAUUCUGCUUCAUACCUCAGGGAAGGAAGAGGUGAUCCUCUUGAAAAUUCAUAUAAUUGCUUUUAUUUGAUUUUUAUUAAACCUCAUUCAAGAAUAAUGUGAUGGCUUUCUUUAUUACAUUGUUCAUCACUGCGGCAUUUUUUGAAUUUACUUUGCUAAAAGAAGCAGUUUACUAAGCCAAAGAUUGAAUUCAAGGAUUUUUGCAGAGAGAAAGCUGAGAGCUUUUUUCAAGUUCCUUUGAUUUCAAAGACUUUUGUAACAUUGAUACCCAUCUAAGAUUAUCUCUGCUUUUAUUCUCUAGUAGCUUGAACAUCUCUCCAGGCCUGAGCAGUCAGGCCAUUCUGCAGUGUGCCAUGUGUGUGUGCUGGGAUUCAGCAGGGCCAGCUGUGCCGCAGCUUCAACCCAGCUCGGCCUGAGUGCCAGGGAGCUGCCAGAGUGCCCAACCCACUCCCCUCCCCAUACCAGCCGUCCCACCACCUGCUUAGGCUGCCUCUUGCUGCCAUGCUGAUGGCAGUGGACAAAGGGAAAGGCUGCAGCUGUAGUGUGGAAAGCUACAGCAAGGAGUGGGUUCAUUGACCCCCCUCUAAAUUCUUUGUAGCUGCCACAGAGAUUGCUCCCAUUUUAAAAUUGGGAUGACUGAUGCAGAGAAGCAAAGUAAAUAAUCUGCACUUAGCAUGAAUAAAAGUAGCCGAGCAAUUAAAAUUCAGAACUGGCAACUUCAUGUCACUAGCAUCAAGCUAUACAGAUUUGGAAAAUUUGAUCUAUUUACCUCUUUGCCACUGGUGUGACAUCAUCUACUGUCCAUCAGUAACUCACACACAGAGCUACCUGAAGUGCAAUUUUAUGAGACUUUUUAAAGAGAAUUAUUUUUGGUCAUUUAAAGAUAGGUGUUUAGGAACAUGAGAAUGUUCAUAUAUUAUUAUAGCAAUUUUCCCCUCUUUUCCAUUUUAUCACAGGAAAUAACAUCUCAAAACACUAUGAGUACUUUGUAGAAGGUUCUUUUUUAUCUUAAAAAGUUUUUAACAAGAGUCCAGUCAUCUUAGUUAAUCCCUUUAAGCCAUGUCAAUAUUUAUUCUUAAGUAGAGUUUCAAAUAUUAGAGCAGCUGCACUCAGCUUAAUAGGGACAAUUCCCAUUGACUGGGAAUUAUGGCCAAGUACUGCAGGGGCUGACCUUGAGUCCUCAGGCCUACAGUUUAAAUGGCAAUAAGGGUGGCGGUGUGUCUGUUGGUUUAUGCCUCUGUCCGUAGGUAAGCACAAACCCCAGGGCUGCUUAAGGACCCUUAAUAAGCACUGCAGCUACUUCCCAGGGCUCUGGAAACCCUGUGUGAGGUGAGGCAUGUAUUUUUUAUGCUACUGGCAUCUAGACUUCUGUUUUCUAACAGUGACAGAAUAAUGGCAAUGGAUUUGGGAUAAAAGACAGGCAGAUGUACCACCAUUUCAUCAUAUAGUUACUCCUCAUCCCUCUUUCCUAAGGCAAGAAACAGGUUACUUCAUAUCACAUGGAGUACCUUGCCUUUGCCCCUCUCUCAGGGCAGGUGUGUUUGAGUCAGAGAACUUCGCUGUUCCAAGAGUCAGCUGGCAUUACGCUCUCUAAGACCCUCCAAAAGAGUGCUCUGCUCACAACCUCUAAAUUAAACUGAUCACCAGUUUUCUGGGCAGGAUUUUUUCUUCCAUUUAAAAGUUCUCUUUUUCUUUGCUUUAUUUCCGACAACACAAAACACAGUUGCUGUCUAUAGCCAUAGGGAAGUUUUAUUCAGUAAGUCCUCUGCUACCGUGGUGACACAGGAUUUUCAUGGUAGUACUGAUUCCUUUGUUGUCUUUCUGUGGUACUACAUUACAGCUAUGGCUUUUUUUUCUUUCCUUUUCCUUUUCCUUUUCCUUUUCCUUUUCCUUUUCCUUUUCCUUUUCCUUUUCCUUUUCCUUUUCCUUUUCCUUUUCCUUUUCCUUUUCCUUUUCCUUUUCCUUUUCCUUUUCCUUUUCCUUUUCCUUUUCCUUUUUUUCCAAGCAGAGGUUUUAUUUCUCCUGAGGAACAUUAAGAAGUAUUUCCCUCCCUGGGGAUGUGGAUUCUCCAUUCUGAAGAAGCCUGGGUCAUUGGAUGUCUCUUGCACAGAGAACACUUCGGAUGUCUCCGCCAGUGUUCCCAGAAAAGGGAGAUGUUUCCUGUCUGGUAGUACAGAGCAGCUGAUCAUUUCCAUGUUAUGCUGAACACAAAAACUGGACCCACUCUCAUAGUCCUCAGUGUGGGGCACCAUGUGAAUACAAAGAAGACAAUGACUGAAGGAGUUUUAAUCUUCCCUGGCCUCUCAGAUACCUUGGGGGACUCCUGGCCUUGGACCCCCUGCUCCCUGUCAUUUUUCUGACCACUUCUGGUGGGAUCCUGUGCUGUUUGCACUUAAAGUUACUGAAGUGAACCGAAAAUUGUAAGUCUCCAGCAAAGAUUAAAUGGCACAAAAAGAACUGCAGUUCCUCAAAAAGUUCUUGCUCUGGCUGAUGUUUUGCAAGGAUGUCUUGAUAGACUGGAAAGUACUUUAAAUCCAGCUCCUUGAUAAAGAACUGGAAAUUUAAAAUGCAUGAAGCUCAAUCCAGAACUUGCGCAAGUCCAUAAGACAUCAUCUUCAACAUAUGGGGACAGGUUAGGCUUUAAUUCAAACUGAAGAGCUUUCAGUAAGGUUCAUCUAAACCCAUAGAAAAUGGGGAAGAUGUUUGUGAAGAGGCCAGGCAAGGGAUAGCAGCCUCUUCUGUUACCGCUCUCAGGAAGUCCCACAAGCCUUUCUGUGCUUCUGGAAGAGCUCGAGGGAAGAGACCUGCUUGACUCGAAUCAAAAGAAUCUUGUUAAAAAUCUUCAAGCCACCGAGAGAGCUGCUUAUAUUAGCAUGGUUAUUUAGUCUGGAAAAAGGACUUCAUUGCAUUCGUCCUUUGGAGGCCCGGAGUGCCAGCUGCAGCUCUGAGAAAGGAAAUUCCAGCUAGCACAGAGUGCUCCUGUUCUCAUUGCCUGCACAGCCUGCUCAUGGUAGGGGCUUCUGGAGGCUUCCUGACCCUCUCUCACCCACUGCUUUUUUCUCUGAGCAAGGAGCAGCUGUUAUAAGCAUGUCUGAUCAGAGAAUCAUAGGAUUAUUAAGGCUGGAAAAGUCCAUUAAGAUCAUCCAGUCCAACUGUCAACCCAUUGCCACAAUGCCCCCUAAACCAUGUCCCUCAGUACCUCAUCUAUACAGUUUUUGAACACCUCCAGGGACAGUGAUUCUACCAUCUCCCUAGGCAAUCUCUUCUGAUACUUCACCAUUCUUUCUGAGAAGAAAUUUUUCCUAAUAUCCAACCUGAAAGGAAGGAUAGGAUCAAUAGCUCUGAAGGAAGGGACCCGAUCUGCCACCCGAGGCAGCACUGCCAGCUUCACUGAUCUUUCUGGCAGAAGAUAACCAGAAGAAAUGAGAUAUGGAGCUGGCAAAGAGACCAUAAGAUCAGACUUAUUUCAGCACAUCAUGUUUAAUGAAUGAACAGGAGCAGUAAAUCCCAUCAGGUCUAGGUCUCAAGUAGUUCAAGAUCUUUGCAUGGCUGGAGAGGUGAAGUCUGCAGUGUAGUGCACCAAAUUUUGUCACUCUCUUACUUCUGGACAUGUAAAGGCAGCUAACAGCACUUCACCUAGCCUGACACUGCUGCUAUUCAUGAACAGGAAAAUAAAUAGCACAACUUUGAGCAGAAAACUCUUAACUGAAAAAAAAACCAACAAGUGCAUCAAAGAAGGAUCCUUUAUGACACCAUUAUACCGAGGCGAUGAUUUUUCUCUUUUCAACUGAAACUACAAGAAGUGGGCCUCUCACGAACCAUAGAACAGUGGUGGCCAUCUCACAGGGGGUGAGGGAUUUUAUGGACCAUUCAGCAUUUCACACCACUGACUGAAAUGAAGAGGAACUUCACUCUUGCAGAGACAUGGAGAGCAAACAUGGGAGCUGGAACAUGCUGCUUUGUACAGAAAGAAAAAAACACAACAAACCAUGAAUCAAGUGCUGUCAGUUAGCUGCUCUGUGGAUUGUCUCUGAUAGUCUAUGGUGUGGGGUGCUGGGCAGUGGACACACUGUGGCCGGGCUGAGGCUGGCUUCUGGAGCUGGCUAAGAGCAGCUCCUGCCUGUGUGUGAGUGCGUGGUCAGGAAGUACAACAGGGAACAACAGCCUGGGGGCUGAGAACAAGAUGUUAGGAUGUGGGGUUAUGAAGUAGAGGAUGAAGCAAGACCUGAAGCAGGUGGGAAGGCUAGAGGGAAGAAUUUGAAACAUUGUUGUACUUCCCAAAUUUUCUGUUUGGCUUACAUGAGAGGUUUAAGGGGAAAGAAAGAGGCACCUGACAGUGUUUACAGCAGUGAGCCUAUAGAAAGUUAUUCCUUCCAUAUCCUUCUCCUUUGGGCUUCCAAAGUUGCUCUGUUUUACUUCCACUGUUACAGCCGAGCACUCACACAGAGGCCUUGGAGCAAAUCUGCAGCGCAGCUUUAUUUCCACCCUCUUAGUAUAUAUCCAUAAAUAAAGUAAAACCUUGGAUGGCAUAGUGAUCUUCAAGAAUGCUUCAGCUUGAAUAAACC